rnacentral:rRNA from 1 species
AUUGAACGCUGGCGGCAGGCCUAACACAUGCAAGUCGAGCGGAUGAAGGGAGCUUGCUCCUGGAUUCAGCGGCGGACGGGUGAGUAAUGCCUAGGAAUCUGCCUGGUAGUGGGGGAUAACGUCCGGAAACGGGCGCUAAUACCGCAUACGUCCUGAGGGAGAAAGUGGGGGAUCUUCGGACCUCACGCUAUCAGAUGAGCCUAGGUCGGAUUAGCUAGUUGGUGGGGUAAAGGCCUACCAAGGCGACGAUCCGUAACUGGUCUGAGAGGAUGAUCAGUCACACUGGAGCUGAGACACGGCCCAGCCUCCAGCGGGGGGCAGGAGGGGGGAAUAUUGGACAGUGGGAAAAAGCUUGACCCCACCGUGCCGCGUGGGGAAAGAAGUUCUUCGGUUUGAAAACACUUUUAAGUGGGGAGAAAGGGCAGUAAGUUAAUACGUUGCUGUUUUGACGGUACAAAAAAAAUAAGCCCCGCCUAACUUCGUC